rnacentral:rRNA from 1 species
AACGAACGCUGGCGGCAGGCCUAACACAUGCAAGUCGAGCGAGGACUUCGGUUCUAGCGGCGGACGGGUGAGUAACACGUGGGAAUGUGCCCUUCUCUACGGAAUAGCCCUGGGAAACUGGGGGUAAUACCGUAUACGCCCUACUGGGGAAAGAUUUAUCGGUGAAGGAUCGGCCCGCGUUGGAUUAGGUAGUUGGUUGGGUAAUGGCCUACCAAGGCGACGAUCCAGAGCUGGUUUGAGAGGAUGAUCAGCCACACUGGGACUGAGACACGGCCCAGACUCCUACGGGAGGCAGCAGUGGGGAAUCUUACGCAAUGGGGGAAAGCCUGAUGGAGCCAUGCCGCGUGAGUGAUGAAGGCCUUAGGAUUGUAAAGCUCUUUCAGCUGGGAAGAUAAUGACGGUACCAGGAGAAGAAGCCCCGGCUAACUCCGUG